rnacentral:sRNA from 1 species
AACAAGAAUAAGCGGAGACACUAUUGUUUCCGCUUAUUUUCUGAAAUAACGGGGGCGACCCCAAUCCUUUAAAAUUAAUGGAGG